AACUCCAUGCUCCUUGUAAAGAGGCUUGGUAAUUUAUUUUGGUAAUACUGAUAAAUCCUUGAACUAUGCAAAAAGAAAUAUUUUUUUUUGGAAAAAGAUGCUUUUACUUCAACACAAAAUGUUACUAGCUAUGAAUGUGGAAAGUAAGGACACAUAAAGACGGUCUCAUCACAAAAGAAACAAAUUUUAUUUCUUAAAGAAAAGAUUGACACUGUUGAAAAAUAUUUUGAAGUUGAA
rnacentral:lncRNA from 1 species